rnacentral:rRNA from 1 species
GAUGAACGCUGACAGAAUGCUUAACACAUGCAAGUCAACUCGAACUUCGGUUUGGGUGGCGGACGGGUGAGUAACGCGUAAAGAACUUGCCUCACAGCUAGGGACAACAUUUGGAAACGAAUGCUAAUACCUGAUAUUAUGAUUAUAUGGCAUCGUAUAAUUAUGAAAGCUAUAUGCGCUGUGAGAGAGCUUUGCGUCCCAUUAGCUAGUUGGAGAGGUAACAGCUCACCAAGGCGAUGAUGGGUAGCCGGCCUGAGAGGGUGAUCGGCCACAAGGGGACUGAGACACGGCCCUUACUCCUACGGGAGGCAGCAGUGGGGAAUAUUGGACAAUGGACCGAGAGUCUGAUCCAGCAAUUCUGUGUGCACGAUGAAGUUUUUCGGAAUGUAAAGUGCUUUCAGUUGGGAAGAAAAAAAUGACGGUACCAACAGAAGAAGUGACGGCUAAAUACGUG